AUUGAACGCUGGCGGCAUGCCUUACACAUGCAAGUCGAACGGAUUCAAGAGGCUUGCUUCUUGAGUUAGUGGCGAACGGGUGAGUAAAGCAUCGGAACGUACCCAGUUGUGGGGGAUAACGUAGCGAAAGUUACACUAAUACCGCAUACGCACUGAGGUGGAAAGCGGGGGACCGAAAGGCCUCGCGCAAUUGGAGCGGCCGAUGUCGGAUUAGCUAGUUGGUGAGGUAAAGGCUCACCAAGGCGACGAUCCGUAGCUGGUCUGAGAGGACGACCAGCCACACUGAAACUGAGACAAGGUCCAGACUCCUACGGGAGGCAGAGGUGGGGAAUUUUGGACAAUGGGCGAAAGCCUGAUCCAGCCAUGCCGCGUGAGUGAAGAAGGCCUUCGGGUUGUAAAGCUCUUUCAGACAGAAAGAAAUCUUUCGGGUGAAUAUCCCGGAAGGAUGACGGUACCGUAAGAAGAAGCACCGGCUAACUACGUGCCAGCAGCCGCCGUAA
rnacentral:rRNA from 1 species